rnacentral:rRNA from 1 species
AUGUGGGAAUCUGCCUUUUGGUUUGGAAUAACACGGGGAAACUUGUGCUAAUACCGAAUAAGCCCUUGCGGGGAAAGUUUUAACGCCGAAAGAUGAGCCUGCACUUGAUUAGCUAGUUGGUAAGGUAAAAGCUUACCAAGGCAACGAUCAAUAGCUGUUCUUAGAGGAAGACCAGCCACAUUGGGACUGAGACACGGCCCAGACUCCUACGGGAGGCAGCAGUGGGGAAUCUUGCACAAUGGGGGAAACCCUGAUGCAGCGAUGCCGCGUGAGUGAAGAAGGCCUUUGGGUUGUAAAACUCUUUCGUCGGGGAAGAAAAUGACUGUA